CCAAUGUGUGUAAAUUGUAACGAAACUGGUCACACAGCUGCCUGGAAAGGAUGUUCAAAAUUCCCAAACUGACAACCAUUAACGGAAGACCCUCCUACUCAGAAAUGACGAAGAAAAAUCAAAGAAAACAAGACCCUCAACCCGUUCCCCCACCACGAAAACUGAAUAUGGAGCCCACUUUGACAGCAGCUGAAGAUUUCCCAUCUCUCCUUGGAACCCUCCAAAUGCUAAAAGAACUUAGAGAAGUAUUGAAAGAAUUCCCCAAAUUAAUAGAAGCAGCCAAGCUUGCAAAGAAACCCGAAAAUAAAGAAGAAAAAAAGAUGAUAAUCCUGAACGCUCUGAUCAGCUAAGUCCCACCAAAAGUAAAGUUAAUCCUCUGCAAUUACCCAGCUUUCUGAUUGGUCACCUAUGUACAAUAGUUUAUCCCUCACCGAGCUCAGAAAACCCACUGCAUCACCCUCUCCUACUCCCCUGACAACCUGCAUUCCUAUUGACCAAGACUUCUCACCCACUCUCCCUCACCUGCAAAUUUCGUUUGAAGAUCCAAGGCAGUUUCUCUCCUUCCACCGUAGUGUCAGGAACAACCACAGUUAUCAUGGCAACAUACUAAAAGUCAUGUUUCUACCAGUUAUGUCAUUAAGGGGAUAGUCCUAUUCCAAGGACGGGUGCCCCGAUACGUCUAUCAUCGAGAUCGAGAUAAAAGAACCGCUUCACACUUAACAGUUCAACGGAUCAUAAUUCAUAACACUCACAGGGAAGAAACGAAUGGGUAACCGGCGUCGGUGAGCUAUCGCUCGCUUUGUUUACUACUUGUUACUUGGCGAUAACCCUCGACGACCACCCACAGUAAAAUAUCCCCAAUAUUUUCCCCAUAUGGCUUAAAGGUUUACAAAUAAAUGUAAAUAAAAUCUUAAGAGUGGAAAAAAGUAGUCAAUUAUCCUUUAAAAGGAGAAAUUUUAGUGUCUUAUACUGUGAUUGUGGAUUAAAAUAUAUUUAAUUAUCUUAUAGACUUUUUUAUGAAUUGCAGUUCAUAAUUUUUCUGAAGUUAAAAGCUGCCUAUCUUGCUUCUAAUAAUAUUGAGUGAAUUAAUUUACAUGACUAUUUGUUAUCCUAAAUGCCAAACUGUACUUUACAUUUUAAUGUAUUUCUGUUCUGGUUUACAUGUGUUUUGCAGAUUCUUGUAAAAAUAGCUUAGUCCAUAAUGCUCACUAAUUUUUUUCCCCUUUUCUCUUAAGAUUUUAUGCAUCCUCCUCUACUGCCAGGAAACAGAGAGCGGAAUUUAUUCUUCAUAUUGUAACCAGUGGUAUAUAUAUAUAUAUAUAUAUAUAUAUAUAUAUAUGGUGUCUAUUCUCCACUCUUGCCACUAGAUGGUACUUUGAGGCAGAUUAUUUAUAUAGUUCCCGUGAUACCUUUCAGUUAAUUAUUCUGGAAAAUGAUAUGUUAUGUGAGAAGAGAAGGAGUCUAAAAACAAAAUUUGGCUUUCUGCAAAGUUGCAUUGUUUUUGAGAAUAAAUGGAUUGUGGGAAUUAAAAAAUAAAGCUAUCUUUGAAUCUGCAAGGUCUGAAAGGUAAGAAAUGUCUGAAAUUUAGCGGGUUUGUUCAAGUUGAUAAUUUGAUAAUUCAAAGCCAUUAAUUUUCUGGUGGUUUCUUUAUUAGAAAGAUAAUUGAUGCUUUUAAUGUUUUUUUUUCAUAUUUUACAAACCAUAUACAAGAACAAGAUAUGUUGUCAUUAAUAAAAUUAUUAUAUGUAGGAUUGACAAUUAUAGUUAGCACUAAUGUCUGUAGUAAAAAAAGAUAAAAAUUUGUAUAGAAGUUAGUACACAUUUUAUGGUGAAAUGCCUAGAAAUUUAAUUAAAAAAAUCAGGACUUUUUAAAAAGGGAGGUAAAAUUUCAAAAUCAGUCAUUUAGAGCAAAGAAAAUUAUAUUGAGAUUGAUUAAUCAAUAUCUCACUAUCCUUUCUGUUGCUGAAUACUGUUCUGCAAUCAUUUUUAAAUAAUAUAGAUUACAUGCAUAUGAAAGAAAAAAAAAGUUUUAGUAGUUUUGGUGCAUCUAAAUUCAUUAUUUUUAAAAAUAGUUUCUAACAUAUUUUAGUCUUUUUCACAUGAA